AGCCUAACCCUUUCAAUUUUGAAGGUAUGGUUAAAAACCACGUGAAUAAAGACGGUCUCAUGAUCGGUACUAUUCACGUGGUCUAUUAGGGAAACCUUAUAGGAUGCUCGCAAGAGUGUC
rnacentral:sRNA from 1 species